AUUUUUAUAGUUGAAUAACAACGGUGGUUUUUCAGGCCAUAGGUUCUGGUUUAAGCCCAGAUAAGAAUA
rnacentral:tRNA from 2 species